rnacentral:rRNA from 1 species
UACGUAGGGUGCAAGCGUUAAUCGGAAUUACUGGGCGUAAAGCGUGCGCAGGCGGUUGUGCAAGACAGAUGUGAAAUCCCCGGGCUCAACCUGGGAAUUGCAUUUGUGACUGCACGGCUAGAGUGUGUCAGAGGGGGGUAGAAUUCCACGUGUAGCAGUGAAAUGCGUAGAGAUGUGGAGGAAUACCGAUGGCGAAGGCAGGUCUCUGGGCUAUAACUGACGCUCAUGCACGAAAGCGUGGGGAGCAAACAGG